UACAGAGGGUGCGAGCGUUAAUCGGAAUUACUGGGCGUAAAGCGCGCGUAGGCGGCUUUGCAAGUCGGGUGUGAAAUCCCCAGGCUUAACCUGGGAACUGCAUUCGAGACUGCAUUGCUAGAGUAUGGGAGAGGGAAGUGGAAUUUCAGGUGUAGCGGUGAAAUGCGUAGAUAUCUGAAGGAACAUCAGUGGCGAAAGCGACUUCCUGGACCAAUACUGACGCUCAUGUGCGAAAGCGUGGGGAGCAAACAGG
rnacentral:rRNA from 1 species